UAUUUACCGUUACACAGCGCCGCCUGCCUGCCGACAGCAUUGAAUUUUGGGAUAAUACAGGAAGUAAGAAAAUGCGCUCUUUUCCGCUGUGGUUAGCCUCCGGUUCGGAUGGAUUGUUGAUGAUUGUGGACUGAAAAACCCUUACAUCCCUGCCAGGCAGAGUUGCUACUGGUGAAGUUGAAGUGCCACUGCCGUAUUUAUGGUGUAUUUGUACUGUAUUUGUGCCAGUUUAUUCAAACUUUGGUGAGGUGUUAUUUGUACUCAGAUAGUAGCCUACCGAGUUUGCUAUUUUGAUUUGCUGUUUAUUUUUUGUUUUGUUUGUAACUUGGUGGAAGUAAAUAUUUCCUGCAAUUUAUCUACUAUAAUUUAGAGAAACUUAUACAUUGGCAGAGGGAGAAAUAAAGUCCCCACAAAAUAGUAUUUGGAGUUGUGUGUUCAAUUUA